AUUGAACGCUGGCGGCAUGCCUUACACAUGCAAGUCGAACGGCAGCGGGGGAGAAGCUUGCUUUUCCUGCCGGCGAGUGGCGAACGGGUGAGUAAUACAUCGGAACGUGCCCUGUAGUGGGGGAUAACUAGUCGAAAGAUUAGCUAAUACCGCAUACGACCUGAGGGUGAAAGUGGGGGACCGCAAGGCCUCACGCUAUAGGAGCGGCCGAUGUCUGAUUAGCUAGUUGGUGGGGUAAAGGCCUACCAAGGCGACGAUCAGUAGCUGGUCUGAGAGGACGAUCAGCCACACUGGGGCUGAGACACGGCCCAGACUCCUACGGGAGGUAGCAGUGGGGAAUUUUGGACAAUGGGCGAAAGCCUGAUCCAGCAAUGCCGCGUGUGUGAAGAAGGCCUUCGGGUUGUAAAGCACUUUUGUCCGGAAAGAAAUGGCUCUGGUUAAUACCUGGGGUCGAUGACGGUGCCGGAAGAAUAAGGACCGGCUAACUACGUGCCAGCCGCCGCAGUAA
rnacentral:rRNA from 1 species